AUGCCUGGUCUGACUCCCUUGUUUCACAGCCAAGGUGCUGGGAAAGACACCCGGACACUUCAUGAAAAAGUCAAGGGAAUAACCUCAGAAAUAAUACUGCCUGGAGAUGCUGAACCAGAACUCAACCCCUUUUUGCUCUGGAUCAUCUUUGUCAUCAUCACAUCAUGUAUAUAAGGACCCCUGGAACUGAACUCAAGGAAGAGCUUUAAUCCAGUAUUCCUAAUCACCAGGAACUUGACAUGCCAGUCACUCAGUCGCAGCAAUACUGACUUCCAAACCUGGCUUAUACAGAAAACCUCUGAGAGCUUUUUAAAAACAAAGGUCUUCAGCUCUAUUGCCAGAACUGCUACAACAGAAGCUCUAGGGCUGGACUCAAACCGCAGGUUCCAAGUACUGCUCAGGUGAUUCUAAAAGAAUCCAGCCCAUGAGUUCACAAUUGUAACACUUGGAGGUUCACGGCUGUUUCUUACUGAGAAGAGAGCACAGACUCUGUAAAACUCCCUCCUUGUCCGUCUCACAUUACUUUCAAGAAACGCAGCUUCAGCUCCAGAUCAUCAAAGGUAAGCCCGCUUUACUAUGAAAGUUUGCUGACUGUUAACUGGUUUUCUUUGGGGCAGGCUGUUUUCAAAUAAAGAAGUUACCUAACAUGUACA
rnacentral:lncRNA from 1 species